rnacentral:rRNA from 1 species
AUACGGAGGGUGCAAGCGUUACUCGGAAUCACUGGGCGUAAAGCGCGCGCAGGCGGCUUGAUAAGUUGGAUGUGAAAGCCUACGGCUCAACCGUAGAACUGCAUCCAAAACUGUCAAGCUAGAGUCUGGGAGGGGAAGAUGGAAUUAGUUGUGUAGGGGUAAAAUCCGUAGAGAUAACUAGGAAUACCAAAAGCGAAGGCGAUCUUCUGGAACAGUACUGACGCUGAGGCGCGAAAGCUAGGGGAGCGAACGGGAUUAGAUACCCCGGUAGUCC